rnacentral:rRNA from 1 species
AGUGAACGCUGGCGGUAUGCCUAACACAUGCAAGUCGAACGGCAGCACAGUAAGGGCUUGCUCUUACGGGUGGCGGGUGGCGUACGGGUUAGGAAUACAUCGGAAUCUACUUUUUCGUGGAGGGUAACGUAGGGUAACUUACGCUAAUACCGCAUACGACCUACGGGUGACAGCAAGGGAUCUUCGGACCUUGCGCGAUUGAAUGAGCUGAUGUCGGAUUAGCUAGUUGGCGGGGUAAAGGCCAACCAAGGCAACGAUCCGUAGCUGGUCUGAGAGGAUGAUCAGCCACACUGGAACUGAGACACGGUCCAGACUCCUACGGGAGGCAGCAGUGGGGAAUAUUGGACAAUGGGCGCAAGCCUGAUCCAGCCAUACCGCGUGGGUGAAGAAGGCCUUCGGGUUGUAAAGCCCUUUUGUUGGGAAAGAAAAGCAGCAGGUUAAUACCCCGCUGUCCUGACGGUACCCAAAGAAUAAGCACCGGCUAACUACGUG